CACGUAGGGCGCAAGCGUUUGUCCGGAAUUAUUGGGCGUAAAGAGCUCGUAGGUGGUUUGUCGCGUUGUCCGUGAAAACUCACAACUCAAUUGUGGGCGUGCGGGCGAUACGGGCAGACUGGAGUACUGCAGGGGGAGACUGGAAUUCCUGGUGUAGCGGUGGAAUGCGCAGAUAUCAGGAGGAACACCGGUGGCGAAGGCGACUUACUGGACUGUAACUGACGCUGAGGCAUGAAAGCGUGGGGAGCAAACAGG
rnacentral:rRNA from 1 species